ensembl:lncRNA
AGAAGGCUCCUUUCAGGUGUAUUUCUUCCUGGUUGCAAUUCUGUUUUUAAAUUAUCUGCGUAUGCUGAUGAUGUGGUGAUUUUUGUCAAGAAUCAAGAUGACAUUAAUGUUCUUGUUGAAUGUAUAAAUGAUUUCAGUGUUUUGUCAUCUGCAAAAGUCAACUGGGGAAAAAGUGAAGCCAUAUCUUUUGGUGUUGAAUUAGUUAAAAAGACUGUAUUGCCUAAUGGGUUGUCUUGGGUUAAGGGUGGUUUUAAGUAUCUUGGUGUGUUUUUAGGAGACCAUUCUUUUGUGUGUAAAAAUUGGGAUAAUGUCUUAGAAAAAAUUGAAGGACGUCUCAAGAAAUGGAAGUGGAUUUUACCGCACAUGUCUUUUAGGGGGCGUGUAUUAGUGAUCAACAACUUAGUGUCAUCUAUGUUGUGGCAUCGCCUGAUGUGUGUUGAUCCUCCCGCACAGUUGCUGGCAAAAAUACAAGCAGUGUUAGUUAAUUUUUUCUGGGAUCAUUUACAUUGGGUCCCACAGUGCCUUUUGUUUUUGCCUAAGGAAGAAGGGGGUCAAGGACUUGUUCAUCUCGCUAGUAGAGGUGCUACUUUCAGACUUCAAUUUAUACAGAGACUUCUGUUUGGACCAGAAAACCUUGUCUGGAGACCCUUGGCCCACACCAUAUUGAGCCAAAGUGGGAAUUUGGGCCUAGCUCAGUCGUUAUUUUUAAUGGAUCUGAAGACUCGCAAACUUUGCAAUCUUCCUAAGUUUUAUCAGGGGGUGUUUACUGUGUGGGGGAUGUUCCAGAAAUUGAGGACAAGCAGUGAUUCACUGUUUUGGUUGUUGAAAGAGCCAGUGCUGUAUGGGACACGUUUCAACAUAGAGCUCUUAGCUGGGCCUUUUAUGGCACAGCGUUUCAUUUCAGCGGGAGUUGUUACUCUGAAACAUGUCUUUGAUAUGACUGGCCCAAACUUGUCUAACACUGAAAAACUAGCCUCUCAUAUAGGAGUCCGAUCUAUUAGGACUGUAAAUCACUUACUUAACAGUUUGAAAGGUGAACUCACACAGACUGAAAUCUCCUUGUGCAAUGAAUAUUGUAAUGGACAUUGUCAACCGGAUAGUAAUGAUAUAUUCCCCUCAUUAAUUCUUGCUCCUGAUUUUAAAAACUGCACUGGUCCAAUGCU